GCAAUACGUCAGUGGCAGACGGGUGAGUAACACGUGGGAACGUACCCUUUGGUUCGGAACAACCCAGGGAAACUUGGGCUAAUACCGAAUAAGCCCUUACGGGGAAAGAUUUAUCGCCGAAGGAUCGGCCCGCGUCUGAUUAGCUAGUUGGUGGGGUAACGGCCCACCAAGGCGACGAUCAGUAGCUGGUCUGAGAGGAUGAUCAGCCUCAUUGGGACUGAGACACGGCCCAAACUCCUACGGGAGGCAGCAGUGGGGAAUAUUGGACAAUGGGCGCAAGCCUGAUCCAGCCAUGCCGCGUGGGUGAUGAAGGCCCUAGGG
rnacentral:rRNA from 1 species